rnacentral:rRNA from 1 species
UACGUAGGUGGCAAGCGUUGUCCGGAUUUACUGGGCGUAAAGGGAGCGUAGGUGGAUAUUUAAGUGGGAUGUGAAAUACUCGGGCUUAACCUGAGUGCUGCAUUCCAAACUGGAUAUCUAGAGUGCAGGAGAGGAAAGUGGAAUUCCUAGUGUAGCGGUGAAAUGCGUAGAGAUUAGGAAGAAUACCAGUGGCGAAGGCGACUUUCUGGACUGUAACUGACGCUGAGACGCGAAAGCGUGGGGAGCAAACAGG